GCGGGAACGGGGAGGGGACUGUCGCAGCGCGCCCUGGGGACGGGGACCGGCGCCCGGCCCCUCCAAGCCGCCGCGGGGAAGCUGGGUCCGCCUCUGGCUCAGCCGGUCCCGGGCGGUGGGGAGGGGUCCUGCGCGCACGGCUCUUCUCGCCCUCCAAUCGUGACCACCCCUGGCCCUUCCCUCCAUUUUUAAUCAAUAAACCCAGCCGCCCCGGGCUGACUGUCCCCGCACCCAGCUGCCUUGGAGACAGGAGUGUCGUAUAAGCCCGUAGGUAAGAGCACGGUGCUUGCCAGGCGCCAAACGAAGUUCCCGAGCCUGAAGCCGGCACGUCUGGAAGUAGCUUUUUUUACCUUCUGCUGGGGGAGGGGAGUAAGUUACCUAAAGUGUUCCCAAGCACCUUCUCUCUAGAAAUACUUCAGUAAAAGUUCCAGUCCCCUCUUUCUGCGUGUUUUAUUUUCCAACCAAAAGAUGGUGUUAUUGGACAUUUCUAGUGGUUUUCCUUUCUCUCAUUUCUUCCUAAGAGCCCAGAAUAGGUUUCAGAGAGACGCUUCCUUGCCUCGGACCUCACUGGGGCCAAGAGGCCACAGGGUCAGUCUUCGCAGCUGAAGACAGCGCCGCAAUAAGCAGAGACCUCGGGACGAUGAAUGACGUUGCUGACAAAGAAAAUGAUUUUUUUAAUUGCUUUAACAAAGGAGACUGCUAGUCUCGAAAGCAGACCCGAACUGGACCCUUGUGCCUGUUCGAACUGUAGCCUUGCAAAGGAAUGGACUUACUGAUAACUGGAAUACGGGACUUCACCCCAGGCUUGUUUCUCGACAGCAGCAGCAGCCAAUGAGCAUUGAGGACGGAGCCUAGGAGAGCAGGUCAAAGCACAGGCAGGCUAACUGGCCCCACGCACAACUUGCAAGGUGGGGCGCACCAGGCUCACUGCACAGCCCAUACCCACAGACCCCUCAGAUUGGAGUCGGGGCAGAAGCAGAACGCAGGACUCGCAGGAAACAGACCAGGUUCCAAGGCCCCCAGGGUCCCAAAGGCUGGGGUAACUGAAGGUUCCCACGCUCAGGCCUCCACUCUUCAAGUCCGCUGCUACUCCACUGAGAUCUGUAAUGAGUCUCCUGCCAUCUACGCACAGUGGUGACUCCUCUUCUCCAAGGCCCCGCCAGGAGUCUUUCAUUCCAACGUGUUCGCAGGAUCUUCUGGGGAACCGUCCAGCCUGGCAGCUGCAGGAACUGCGAGAAGUUAAGGGUCUGUGCCCACCUAUUCCAGCUUCCCUUGCAAGGAGGGUGUUGGGCACCAGAAGGCCCUGGGGAAAGUGGGAGCCGCAGACAGCCAGGCAGCUCUUCUAUGUCUGGGGUUUGCAGGAGCACUGCCUUCCGGGGGGGGGGGGAGGGGAGGCGGGUGAGGACAGCACGUGACUUCCCCUCCUAAUGUUCAUGUGGUGGGGAGUCACCCUGGGGGCCUCCCGCCAAAUUUUAGUAUCUCUGUGAUUUUAGUUGUUGCCCCAAGCAGUUAGGACUUGUGUAGUUUGAAAGAAAAAUCUCACCCAGCAUAAAAAGAGAAAAGGGGGAAUUGUAACAAAUGUUAAUCAUAAGCACUGUUUCAACCCGGAAAAAUGUUUGCUGCCAGGCUGUGGGCAAAGAGGUGGCCUCGGCGGCUGGCAGCUCAGUGGGCCUUCCAAGUUUACUAAGCAGGGUCUUGUAUUUUUAAAUAAAAUAGAGCAUCAGACACGCUCACUUAAAUAUAAAAAAUAAUAAAAACAAGUUUUGAAUUAAGUUUAAGACACAUUAAGAAUAAAACAAAUCUAAGAAUAAAGGGAAUCAGUGAUUUCCAAGCUGCAGGCUGUGUGAAAGUUCUGUGGUGUUUGUUAGGUGACCUGUGCUUUUAUUGUCUGCCUGACAGCCCUCAUCAUAAAACAAUUUUUUAAAAAAAAAGCCAGCGCCAGCUCACGCCUAUAACUGCAGGGUUUUAGGAGGCUGAGGCAGGAGGAUGGUCUGAGCCCAGGAGUUCAAGACCAGCCUGGGCAACAAAGCAAGACACGGUCUCUACUAAAAACAGGUUUUUUUAAUUAGCCAAGCGUGGUGUUGUGCACCUGUGGUCUCAGCUAUUUGGGAGAUUGGAGCAGAAGGAUCACUUGGGCCCUGGAGUUCAAGGCUACAAGUGAGCUGUGAUCGUGCUGCUAUGAUUGUGCCACUGCGCUCCAGGCUGGGCGACAGAAUGAGACCCCUUCCCCCCACCCACUCCGCAAAGAAAAAGGCGUGCAGCUAGAUAGCAGCUGAAUGUUUUUGGGGUGUCCACCAGCCCCGCUGGCAGCGUUCGUCAGUCUUGCAGACUCAGGGGGGAUGUCUCUGGUCACAAAUGAAUCCACAUCCCAGGGAGAAACUUGUGGCCACCUAAUUGCUCUGUAAAUGCAGAGGGAUGCGUUUCUCAAGGCUGCCUUAACGAAUGAUCACAAACGUAUGCAACUUCAACAACAGGUGGAUUCUCACAGCUGUAGAAGCCAGAACCAGGGUGUGGGCAGGGCUGCACUCCCUCUAGAGGCUCUAGGGGAGGAUCCUUCCUGCUUCCUCCAGCUUCCGGUGGCUCCAAGCAUUCCUGGGCUUGUGGUCACAUCACUCCAGUCUCUGUCUUCUCCUGACCUUCUCCCUGUGUGUCUGUGUCCUCUCCUUUUAUAAGGAUACCAGUCAUUGGAUUCAAGACCUCCCUAAAUCCAAAACGAUUUCAUCAUGAGAUCCUUUACCAAUUAUGUCUGCAAAGCCCCUGCUUCCAGAUAAGGUCACAUCCUCAUGUUCUGGUGGAUAUGGUUUGAGGGGACACUAUUCAAGCUAGUAUACGGGAUGGCUACUUACUGUUCACUUACAGGGAGACCUUUGGUAAGAGGCACUUAGCCUGGCCCCUUCACCCUGGGACACAAGUCUGGGGAGGCUGGAGCCUGAGACAGUAGCCUGUGACUUGAGAGUUCCGGAGUAGAGAAGUCCACUGGCCAAGACACCUCCAACCCCUGCCCUGCUUUCCCAAGAAAAUGAGGAUUCUCAGAUCUGCUCGGCCAGGACUCUCUCGCCAGGGUCAGGGCUUGGCCAGGCACUAGCAUUAAUCAGGCCUGACACGUGAUCAAGGGCCAGGUGGAGCCUGUUGUACAGAUGAGGGGGGACUGGAGCUUGAAGUUAAGUCAGCAGCCCAGGUUUCAUUCUUGGAAGGGGCAGAAACCUUGGACUUGGACCCCAAAGCUGGCAGAGCUGGCACUGCGCAGUUGACCAGCCCAUGCAUCCACACACCAGGCGCCACGGAUUAGAUGCCUGCUCACUAAAUUAUAGUCAAGAGUCAGGCCUGCUUCCUCCCUGAAAUUGACCCAGAUCUCCCAAGCGGGGCUGUCUGCAAACUCUUGAGUGACUCAUUUACAACAGCCUCUUGGCUGACUCCCACAAAUGGCUAACCAUAGCCAUCGCGGAUGGAUUUUACUAGCUUAACUCAGACAGCAGCGCAUUUCAAAGCUCAGGAGUAAACGGCGUUGUCCUGAUGGCACUCCAACAAGUCAGCCUUCCUGGGACGCUUCCUCCUUCCCAAGGUGCAAGCAAGAAAUGACCUUUCCGGUGAGAGAAGCCUGUGGCCUCUAGACUCCUCCCUAACCUGGAAAGGUGCAACGCUACUGGGCUCCACUUUCUAAGCACGAGGUCCACCCAGG
rnacentral:lncRNA from 1 species